CCUACGGGGUGCAGCAGUGAGGAAUAUUGGUCAAUGGUCGGGAGACUGAACCAGCCAAGCCGCGUGAGGGAUGAAGGUACAGAGUAUCGUAAACCUCUUUUGUCAGGGAACAAAGGCGGGGACGUGUCCCCGGAGGAGUGUACCUGAAGAAAAAGCAUCGGCUAACUCCGUGCCAGCAGCCGCGGUAAUACGGAGGAUGCGAGCGUUAUCCGGAUUUAUUGGGUUUAAAGGGUGCGCAGGCGGUCUGUUAAGUCAGCGGUCAAAGCCCGGGGCUCAACCCCGGCCCGCCGUUGAAACUGGCAGUCUCGAGUUGGAGAGAGGUAUGCGGAAUGCGCGGUGUAGCGGUGAAAUGCAUAGAUAUCGCGCAGAACUCCGAUUGCGAAGGCAGCAUGCCGGCUCCACACUGACGCUGAGGCACGAAAGCGUGGGUAUCGAACAGGAUUAGAUACCCGAGUAGUC
rnacentral:rRNA from 1 species